CACUAAGGUCACUGAGAACAGAAAGCUUGUCUGCUUGUUUGGUAGUUUCAGCUCUGUGUCUCUAGGGAUUCCAACAGUGCCUAACACAAAGCAGACAUUCCUAACACCACCACGGGAUGACUUAGUGGAGUGCCAAAAGAGCAAAGAGCAGUCAGUGAGUGGAAAGCAGGAUAGCCCACCCUGGUGAAGCCUGAGUCUCCAGCCCAGAUUCCUCUCAUAUCUCACUGCUUGCUGAUGGGGGAAAAGAAGAGACAGACCCACGAGACUAGACACCUUUGUGGAUGAGUUCUAGCCAAAUGAUCAGAGAUGUAACGUGACCAGGUCUGUCCAGCUUCCACCACAGAGUGUCUUUUACUAUAUACAUGAGUCUAACCUAACAUUUGAGCCAAAUAAACCUUCUCUCCCA
rnacentral:lncRNA from 1 species